AAAAUUAAAGAAAAUGUAAAAUUCUUACAUUUUUCUCUAUAUAAUGAGAUCAAGAAGAUCAGAAGGAACAACACAGAGAACCACAACACACACACAAAAAAAACCCUAGAACUCUGAUUUUUUUUGUUUGUUUUGUUCUUCUUGUCAAUACACACAAUGGCUCACGGUCACACUAAUGGCGCCAUCAUCUCUCCUUUCUCCAAAGAUCUAUGUGAGGAACGUGAAAUCCAAAAGAAUUACUGGAAAGUGCACUCUGUAGGAUUGAGUGUUGAGGCCAUGAUGCUUGAUUCCAAAGCUGCUGACCUC